rnacentral:rRNA from 1 species
AGUGAACGCUGGCGGCAGGCCUAACACAUGCAAGUCGAGCGGCAGCACGGGUAGCAAUACUUGGUGGCGAGCGGCGGACGGGUGAGGAAUACAUCGGAAUCUGCCUUGUCGUGGGGGAUAACGUAGGGAAACUUACGCUAAUACCGCAUACGACCGAGAGGUGAAAGCGGGGGAUCGCAAGACCUCGCGCGACAAGAUGAGCCGAUGUCGGAUUAGCUAGUUGGCGGGGUAAGAGCCCACCAAGGCGACGAUCCGUAGCUGGUCUGAGAGGAUGAUC